rnacentral:rRNA from 1 species
UACAUGGGGUGCAAACGUUGCUCGGAAUUAUUGGGCGUAAAGCGCACGUAGGCGGUUUGUUAAGUCGGAUGUGAAAUCCCUCGGCUCAACUGAGGAAGUGCAUCCGAAACUGGCAAGCUUGAGUACGAAAGAGGGUCGCGGAAUUCCCGGUGUAGAGGUGAAAUUCGUAGAUAUCGGGAGGAACACCGGUGGCGAAGGCGGCUUGCUGGGCAUGGUCUGACGCUGAGGCGCGAAAGCGUGGGGAGCGAACAGG